rnacentral:rRNA from 1 species
AUUGAACGCUGGCGGCAGGCCUAACACAUGCAAGUCGAGCGGAUGAAGGGAGCUUGCUCCUGGAUUCAGCGGCGGACGGGUGAGUAAUGCCUAGGAAUCUGCCUGGUAGUGGGGGAUAACGUCCGGAAACGGGCGCUAAUACCGCAUACGUCCUGAGGGAGAAAGUGGGGGAUCUUCGGACCUCACGCUAUCAGAUGAGCCUAGGUCGGAUUAGCUAGUUGGUGGGGUAAAGGCCUACCAAGGCGACGAUCCGUAACUGGUCUGAGAGGAUGAUCAGUCACACUGGAACUGAGACACGGUCCAGACUCCUACGGGAGGCAGCAGUGGGGAAUAUUGGACAAUGGGCGAAACCCUGAUCCAGCCAUGCCGCGUGUGUGAAGAAGGUCUUCGGAUUGUAAAGCACUUUAGGUUGGGAGGAAGGGCAGUAAGUUAAUACCUUGCUGUUUUGACGUUACCAACAGAAUAAGCACCGGCUAACUUCGUG